GGAUGAACGCUGGCGGCGUGCCUAAUCCAUGCAAGUCGAGCGAACGGACGAGAAGCUUGCUUCUCUGAUGUUAGCGGCGGACGGGUGAGUAACACGUGGAUAACCUACCUAUAAGACUGGGAUAACUUCGGGAAACCGGAGCUAAUACCGGAUGAUAUUUUGAACCGCAUGGUUCAAAAGUGAAAGACGGUCUUGCUGUCACUUAUCGAUGGAUCCGCGCUGCAUUAGCUAGUUGGUAAGGUAACGGCUUACCAAGGCAACGAUGCAUAGCCGACCUGAGAGGGUGAUCGGCCACACUGGAACUGAGACACGGUCCAGACGCCUACGGGAGGCAGCAGUAGGGAAUCUUCCACAAUGGGCGAAAGCCUGACGGAGCAACGCCGCGUGAGUGAUGAAGGUCUUCGGAUCGUAAAACUCUGUUAUUAGGGAAGAACAUAUGUGUAAGUAACUGUGCACAUCUUGACGGUACCUAAUCAGAAAGCCACGGCUAACUACGUG
rnacentral:rRNA from 1 species